GGCCGUCCAAGCAGCAAGCCUGGUGUGUAGGCAAAUCCGCACACCGUCAAGGGCAAGCUGUGAUGGCGAGGGAAAUGCAAGUACCGAAGUCCCUGAUUUCACACUGCCAAGAAAAGCGUCUAGCGAGGAAUGAGGUGCCCGUACCGCAAACCGACACAGGUAGGCGAGGAGAGAAUCCUAAGGUGCGCGGGAGAACUCUUGCUAAGGAACUCGGCAAAAUGGCCCCGUAACUUCGGGAGAAGGGGCGCCCCGGUAGGGUUAACAGCCCGAGGGGGCCGCAGUGAAAAGGCCCAAGCGACUGUUUAGCAAAAACACAGGUCUCUGCGAAGCCGCAAGGCGA
rnacentral:rRNA from 1 species